rnacentral:lncRNA from 1 species
ACCUAUUAGUGAAAGGGAGCUAUAUAUCCAGGUUCUUGUAGAAGCUGGAGAUGAGUCUGGGCAGAGGGGAGCAUAAGGGAUCCCUGUUGCCUGUAAAGUAUUCAAUUUCAGGUUCUUGUGUUGACUACAUUUGACAAUACAUAUGCUCAUGAUGUAAGAAGAAAACUGGGAGUCAUCAAUUUGACAACAGGUAUCGGAAAACCUACAGCACUGUGAUUGGCAGUUGCAGUUGGAUGAUGCCCAGUUGUUAUAAGUUAGAAUUGGGAGUUUGGUGACCGAUUUGUAUUCUUGGAGGAAAGGGUAAGGGUGCUCAGGGAAUUGGUGGGUAUGGGGUGGUGUUACAGUUCCCUAUUGCAGUAGUGGUUUAUGCAGAAGUUGUAGCUGCAACUUUUGCUUUUCUGAUGAAUGAGCAGGGUAGUUGAUUAAACAUCUGAGUGGUAGUGUUGUUGUUGUGGUGGACCUUGACUAUAAGAUGAUCUAUCUCCAAGAGAAUGAGCACCAUAGGUGCUAAUACCACUCCUGGAGGAUAUCUCAAAUGACAUAAAAGGGAGAGUGAGGUUGAACCUGCAAAACAAAAAACAGAGUUAGAGAAAAAGUAGGCAUUUCUACACAACUCUGGUGUACUAUCUAUUGUGAGAGGUUUAGUGGUUGUGGUACAAUAAUGUUAUAGGUUGUAGUGGUUGAUUCCUAGGUUCUUGUGGUUUCAACGGAUUCUGAAGCAGAGGAGAAAAGGAGGGAGUGCAAAGGUUUCCCAUUUUUGAGUUGUGAAUUACAUUUCCUUCAUACUGCCCUUUACUUCUAGGAAGGGGGUUCUGCUUUGGGGUCAUGUGUUUUAUGGUCUCCUUGGGUGUAUGGUAGGGAAAAGGUGUGGUUUAUAAGGUUGUGUGUAUGUGUGCAAAGUGUUGCUCUAAGCCAGAAGUCUCCACUUGACAUAGGGAGCAUAUGGAUUUUAACGAGUUCAAACGGAAGAAAGAUCCUGGGGCUAUGCAUUUCUGCAUAAUAGGUGUUUCCACUUCCUCUAUAAUCUACAUCUAUUCUUUGUUGCAGUUCCAGGAGAAUGAACCCAAUGGUUGAUACCACACCCUAAAAUAGUAUCAAAGUAAUAGGUAGUUUAUAAGAGAGAUUAACCUGCAAAAGAACAAACAAAGUUAAUAGAACUAUUUUGAUCAUCCAUAGUGGACUAAGGUUGUUGCUGAUAUGGAUGCCAUAAUCCUUGUCUUUGAACUUUUGGGAAAACAAAUCUGUUCCCUUUUUCCAUUCCUAUGUUAACCACAUCCAUGAGAAGAAGUAGAAGGCAUGUGUGAGGGGAUUUUAAUUUUGGUUGUUGUUUUGUGUCUGAAGGCAGGGGUACCAAUCUGAUCCAUGUAGACUUGACCUUUGAUGUGAGUGGGCAAUUUAGAAAUGGUAUUGUAGUGAGUAGUGGUGAGCAUCUUACGACUUAGCUUAGAUAGGGAUUCAGAAGGACAGUUUGCCUCCCUAUAGAUGUGCUUAAAGAUGAUGGCUUCACAUUGUUGACAGGUCUGCUUGACUCUCUACAUCUGCAUGUGUAAGGACCAGGGUGGGGUAGCUUCAUUUGAUAACCAGUGGAUUAAGAGGGCUGAGUUUGCUUCUAAUUGAAUCUUAGUGAAUCCACUAGUAAUGCAC